rnacentral:lncRNA from 1 species
UAUGAUUGUGUUUUUACUUUAUUGAAUGUAUCAUAAUGGUGUGGGGUAGAAGCCAGUGACUUUUUAGCUAAGUUUGAGAAUUAAAUAUGUAAAUCUAGAUUCAAUAAUGCACAAUCCUAAUCUGAUCCGGAUGUAUAUCAACCAAAAGUUUAUACACCUGUGUUGUUAACAAAACAUAUUACUAUAUUAUGUUUGGUUUUUAGUCCAUAUACAAAAAUACCUUUGUACGAACGAAUAGUUGAUCAAAGCUUUUAAUAUUAGAUGAAGCCAAUAUGUUUUCCUAGUGGUAACUAGUGACUCCUUUCUUCCUCCUAGGUUAGCUCCUGUAACAGUUUAAAAGUUCAACUCCAAACUAAGCAGAUUCGCGAAACUACAAAAAAAAAAAAAAAAAAAAAAAAACCACGACAUUGACAAUCGGCUAAGGUUUAUUGACUGGGCCCAUGUUGCUGCUUCACCUAGAUAACGCCCAAUAAAGGUCUUGAGAUCCCAGUUUUUCUUUGUUUUUGCGUGAACUCAUUUCUCGGCCCAAAAGUCUAAAAAAGAAGGUGGACGCAUCCAAACAACUAGUUUUUGGUUUUCUUAAUCAAGGAAUGUAUACAAAUGCAUAAAUGAAACACAUAUAACAACUUUUUCACUUAAUUAAGUAUAUUGAAAUGAAACCUUGAUCUAAGCCGGAACUAGAAGUCAUUCAACACUGUUGGAGUGAUGGUAUAAUUAAAUCGAGC